UUACGACCUUACCAUGUUGAAACACCGUUCUCGUGCGAUCACCGAAGUUAAGCAACGUCGAGCCUGAUCAGUACCUAGAUGGGUGACCACUUGGAAAUACCAGGCGCUGUAG